UACGGAGGGUGCAAGCGUUGUCCGGAUUUAUUGGGUUUAAAGGGUGCGUAGGCGGCCCUGUAAGUCAGUGGUGAAAGCCUCCAGCUCAACUGGAGAACUGCCAUUGAUACUGCAGGGCUUGAGUACAGACGAGGUUGGCGGAAUUGAUGGUGUAGCGGUGAAAUGCAUAGAUACCAUCAAGAACUCCGAUUGCGUAGGCAGCUAACUAGGCUGUAACUGACGCUGAGGCACGAAAGCGUGGGGAGCGAACAGG
rnacentral:rRNA from 1 species